GAUGAAGAACGUAGCGAAACGCGAUAAGUAAUGUGAAUUGCAGAAUUCAGUGAAUCAUCGAAUCUUUGAACGCACCUUGCGCCCUUUGGCCAUUCCGAAGGGCAUGCCUGUUUGAGUAUCAUGAACACCUCAACUCUUCAUGGUUUUCCGUGAUGAGCUUGGACUUUGGGGGUCUUGCUGGCCUAUGGUCAGCUCCUCUAAAAUAAAUCAGCUUGCCAGUGUUUGGUGGGUAUCACAGGUGUGAUAACUAUCUACGCUUGUGGUUUUCCACCAGGUAACCUUCAGCAGUGGAGGUUCGCUGGAGCUCACAGAUGUGUCUCUCCUCAGUGAGGACAGCUCUUUGAAUGUUUGAUCUCAAAUCAGGUAGGACUACCCGCUGAACUUAAGCAUAUCAAUAAGCGGACGA
rnacentral:misc_RNA from 1 species